UUUUGCAAGGAUGAAACCUUAAACUAAUUAAAGACAAGCAUAUGUCUGAAUUUUGCAUGUCAGAAAAACGUUUUCAAGUCUGAUGCGAAA